GAACAGCCUGGGCAUCUGGUACUAAGCGUAUUCGCCUAGAGCUGGACUGAUGCCAUGAUGUUCCUAUGGUGACCCCCUGGAUUGGGAGAUUUCAGGACAUUCCAGGCAUUCUGUUACGGGACGUAGGGUAAUUUGUCGGGUAUGUUCCAGUGUGGGGCUGCACGUGAUUCCUUGACAAGAUCCUUCUUUCUUUUCAUGGAUAAUCAAAAAUUCUGUGGAAACUCUCAGAGAACAUGUGACCAGUUUUGUGCACAAAAAAGUAGAUGUAUUUAACAAUCCAAACUGAUGGAAAUGGUUCAUGUUCAAAAUUUGCUGACCUUCUCUGCCUUCAAGUGGAUCUGGAAAGCCAAGGUCAUGCAUUCAAGUUGGAAACGAAAUACAAACAUAGCCAAAACAAAUACACAAUUGAUGCCAAAAAGUCUUUUUUCUUUCUUUCUUUUUUUCUUAGUGGACUCAACUCUUUAUGCAUGGUGUCAUAAAAAAACAACUUAAUAUUAAUUAAAUGUAAUUUGCACAAAGCAAUGUGUAUAUUUGUGUGUAC